UACGUAGGGGGGCGAGCGUUGUCCGGAAUUAUUGGGCGUAAAGCGCGCGCAGGCGGUCAUUUAAGUCUGGUGUUUAAUCCUGGGGCUCAACCCCCGGGUCGCACUGGAAACUGGGUGGCUUGAGUACAGAAGAGGAGAGUGGAAUUCCACGUGUAGCGGUGAAAUGCGUAGAUAUGUGGAGGAACACCAGUGGCGAAGGCGACUCUCUGGGCUGUAACUGACGCUGAGGCGCGAAAGCGUGGGGAGCAAACAGG
rnacentral:rRNA from 1 species